UACGUAGGGGGCGAGCGUUGUCCGGAAUCAUUGGGCGUAAAGCGCGUGUAGGCGGCUUGGUAAGUCCGGUGUGAAACCUUGGGGCUCAACCCCAAGCCUGCACUGGAUACUGCCUCGCUUGAGUCCGGGAGGGGAGAGCGGAAUUCCUGGCGUAGCGGUGAAAUGCGCAGAUAUCAGGAAGAACACCCGUGGCGAAGGCGGCUCUCUGGGCCGAUUCUGACACUGAGGAGCGAAAGCGUGGGGAGCGAACAGG
rnacentral:rRNA from 1 species